rnacentral:lncRNA from 1 species
UUGAAUGGCCCACAUACAUCAGUAUGUAUUAGGUCCAACAAACCUUCACCCCUCUCACAAGUUCCAGUGAAGGGUGAUUUUGUCAUUUUUCCAAGUAGACAAGAUUCACAACUAUCAUCUGAUUUGAGGUCAAAUGAUUCCAAGACUCCACUCUUUUGGAGUUGGUCUAUGCGUUUCUUGUUUACAUGUCCAAGACGACAAUGCCACAAUGAUGCUUUAUCUAGGCUAGUAGAAGAAUCAAUAUACAACACAUUAUUUCCUAAGUUGUCUACAAUCGACACAGUUUCAUACACGCCAUCACAAGGUAAUGCUUUAAAAUAAAACACAUUAUUAAAGAAAGCAUUAAUACCACCACAUUCAUUAUCAAACGAAAAGGUAAAACCUUGUUUGUACAAAGCAUGAAAAGAAAUAAUAUUCCUCGCCAUUUCAGACGAGUAUACACAUUUAUUCAAAUCUAAUUUUAACCCAUUAUUAAGCAACAAAGUAUAAACUCCAAUCUUGGAAACAGGUGAAGCCUUCCUAUUCCCCAUGAUUAAGUUUAUCUUCCCGUGCUCCACAUCCUCACUUCUUCUUAGGCCCUGCAAAUCAGAACAUAUGUGAAUACCACAUCCUGUAUCAAGCACCCAAGAGUUAGAAUAUGUUGAGUAAUUAGACAAUAUAGUGUAAAUACCUGCAUAGGUGGGUUUCACUUUCCCAUCCUUUAGAUCCUGCAAGUACUUAGGGCAGUUUCGCUUCCAGUGUGCCUUUUCAUGGCAAUAAAAGCAUUCAGCAUCCUUUGGAAUGGCAGAAGGAGUGACAGAACCGUUCUUAGUCUUGGAUGAGGAGCCUUCAAGAGACUUUCCCUUGGUACCCUUCGAAGGGUGCUUCCUCUUUUUCCCUUUGCCUUGCCCAAUAGCUAAAACAGGGGUAGAAGUUGGAGUAGGAGUAGUAGAGGUAACAACCGCUUUACCCUUAAGACCGGUUUCAGCGGUCUUCAAGAGUCCUUGAAGCUUGCUGAGGGUAACUUCCUCCUUGUUCAUAUGAUAUGUCAUUCGAAAAUGAUCAUAACAAGAAGGCAAGGAGUGCAAAAUGAUGUCAAUUGCUAACUCCUCGGGGAUGUUAACAUUCAGCUUCAGCAAACGGUCCACAUACCUUUGCAUCUUUUGCAUGUGGCCCGUGACGGAUUCACCGUCCUUCAUGCGGGUAGUUAUUAUGGAGGAGAUUAUUUCAUACCGCUCCUGACGAGCACUCUGAUGGUACCUUUCCAUCAAGUCUUGGUGCAUCUCAAAAGGGUAGAAAUCUUCAUAUGACUUUUGGAGCUCGGCUGUCAUCGUGGCCAUCAUGAUACAUGCCACCUUAGUAGCAUCUCUCUCAUGAGUCCUGAAUUCAGCGAUCUCCUCAGGAGUAGCAGUAGACUCAUCAAGUUCUUUUAACUCCUUAUCGAGGACAUAUUCCUUGUCCUCGUAACGAGUAACCAUCCUGAUGUUCCUAAUCCAAUCCAUGAAGUUGGAACCAUCAAAGAUGACCCUCCCACAAAGAUUCAUGAGAGAGAAAGAACCAGUUGGGUUAGAGCCUGAAGCAUUAGUGUUGGAAGACAUCUGAAAGAAGAAAGUAAGUUUAGAUUAGAUAUUUAGGAUCCUUAAUAAGACACCCAAAUGUAAUAUUAAGGCUAGGAUCCAAUCACAAUAUAUUACACUUAGAAGAGGGAUGCCGUAAUCUAAGUAAUAAUAUAUUUGAAAGGUAGGCGAAUGACGAUUCACCAAUUUCCACCAUGAAAACGAAAUGAUUAAUUAGGUUUAAUUGGAUUUGAAAUUCCUAGAUUCUUUUGAGAUUCAUUGAACUUUUCAAUGGCAUGUUUCAAUCUCGAUUGUGCCCUUCAAGUUUUGUGACUGGGAUGCCGAGGAUCACAAAACAAGGUGUGAAUAACCAUGCUAACUCACUUGGUACUCCUAAUAUUAUCACCUAAUCAAUGUGCCGGUUAACCACACACGCUCCAUUGAUCUAUGACAACAUUAAGUUACCCUUCGUGAUCCUUACUAGUCUAAUUAGUGUGCCGGUUAACCACACACGCUCCACUAACGACUUGGUAAGGUACAAAGUGUGAAUUCCAUGGAUUAGCACCAUGUUCACAUUUUCCUAAAAUAACUAAGAUUGGGAAUUAAAAGAGUUUAGUUAUUUUAUAAUAUUCAUUAUACUUUUAAUGAGGAUUUAAAGUCGUUGUUCUACCCGUUCGGCUAACGACCCUCCACCGAUCAAGCAAGCGGUGGGUGAGAGUAUACACCCAUUAAGUCGCCAUUUUAUAGGCAACAACCUUAUACCCACCUUAUAGACCGGCUUCGUGAAUGAGGCCUACUAACGGUAAAACGACUUAUUCUUAUACAUAUAUAUAAUAAUUAACCAUUAAUGUUAUAAAUAGUAUAAGGGUUGAAUUUUAACUAUUAAAACUCUAAGGUUUGGAAUUAAAGUUUAUUAAAGUGUGUGAAACUUUACAAAUUCCAAAACUUGAGGACAAGUUUUGUAACUUUGCAAAACUCUUCAUUUCAUAACUUAUGAAUUAAAGGUUCAUAAAAAUGAAGACUCUUCAUUUUCAUGUAACUUAUGUGUUUUAAGUGUGUGUUAAAUGAAAGUGACCUUUGGUAAUCCAUAACUUGAGGACAAAUUAUGGACUCCAUUAAAACACAUAAAUGAUUAAGAAUUAAUUCUAAACAAUUCAGCAAAUAAUUCCUAUCAUUUUCUAAAUUCAUAAGAACAUGAACAUGAUCAUCAAAAAUUCAAGAAUUAUAUGAACACAUAAAAUCAUGGAUUUUUGAUAUAUGCUAUUGUAAAUGGAUUAGAACAACCAUUACACCAACUAAAAUAAGUUUUACAACACCAAAACAAUUUAGGGUAAUGUUUCCAGUCCAUUUCCAGCAGCAAAAGUCGAGAUUCUGCAUUCUUUCGAUCCUACUCGCCGAGUGCACGAACGGACUCGUCGAGUAGGUUGAAGUUUGCCUUGGACUCGGCGAGUCCCCCCAAUGGACUCGGCGAGUCUAGCAUGCAGACAGCAACGAUUUCGACUUUUUUCACUAUUUUGCAUCAAGUAUCAAACAAGCAAGCCUAGGCUCUGAUACCACUGUUGGGUUUUGAGCAAUCUAACACUUCCUAAGUGUGCAUGCAACCCUAAUAAACCUUGGAUCUAUGUUUGUCUAAAUACAUGCAAAAUAAUAAUUUUCCAAGGUUUAUAACCUAUCUAACAUGGCAUGGGGAACAUUUCAACAUAAAAGAGUUAGAAGAGAUUACAUACCUUUGUUGUGUUGGGUUCUUAGGAGUUUGAGGGCCAAGCACCAAUAGUGUGAAUGCCUCAAAUGGAAUCACAAACACCACAAACUCUUGGAAAACUUUGAGAGAGUAUACACACUCUUGUAUUUUCGGCCACACACAUGCACACACACACUAGAACACUAGCUUUCUCUUAGGCUAUCUUAGGCUCUCUUUCAUGCUCCAUAAGCAUGCUUAUAUAGUAUGCAUGGUUAGGGUGAAACCCUAAUAACCCAUGUCUUUUCCUAUUCCAAGGAUCCAUGGGUUAAAAGCUCCAUGGAUCAUCCAUGGACUUCCACAUAAGCCUAGCCCAUUAACAAAUGAGUAUUAGCCCACACUAUAUAAAACAAAUAGCCCAUAAUUUAAUUAGUAUUCCUUUUAAUCUCUAAAUUAAUCCAUAAUUAAUUUAAGACUAAAACUAAUUAAAUAACGUAACUUCAUAUUAAUAUAUUAUAACUCAUAAUAUAUUAAUAAACAUAUGUGUAUAACUCUCAUAAAAUUAUCCAUAAUAGUUUGGAUGAGAUGCAACCCAAAUGGACCAUGCCGGUCGGGUCAAGUAUAUACCAAAUAAGUUAUGGACUUAGACACCUUAUCCAACAGACUCCCACUUGGAUAAGUCUAAUAACUAUAUUUGCCUAUAACUUCAGGAACCAACCAACAAUCGUAGCUCUCGAAAACUCCCUCGAACAAUGAAGACUCUGUCGAACUAUGAAGCGCCAUUUUAGAUAAGUGAUCACAUAAUCCUCUGUUCUCAUGAUAUCAGCCGGACAAACACAUGGAACUAUGUCUUGCUUAUUGUCUAGCAGUUGUUUCUCGAUUAUCCGAUUUGUUUGACGAAGAACUUCACUGAACACAUCGGUUUAGUUCUGACCAGGCCUGGUAUAUGGGUCAACACAAAAUCAUCGAGGGGCCCGGAUAUCGCUUCUAUUUCUAGAAGGAACAGAUAAACUUCGACUGAUAUGCUUGUUCUACUACUUAUUGAAUUGUACACAAAGGCACGUUUUAUAACAUCAAGUUACUGAUGCGUUUACGUGCAAUCAAUGCACAACCAACUCAUAGGUAACAACUCAUAUCUCUAGGUUUAAAGAUUUAUAUGAUGUUAUCGUCUCACGAUCACUCGAGAUAAAUUCCAUGAAGUGAUACAAGUGAGCGUGGGUUUAUACCAAUACUCAUAACUUAUGAGUACUCAUGAAUGUUGCAGCAACCAUUGCCAUGCCUAAACACCUUUAAGGCAUCUACAAACCCAAUUCAUGACAAUCUUGAUUCAUACCUACUUCCGACGUAUGAUCGAUUGUGGAGGUUUGAACAAAUUAAUUAUUCUGGAAGUCAAAACAUGCAAAACUGAAACAAUAGUAAAUAAUUGACAAUGAUAGUAACACUUUACUCAUAAAUAAAUCACAAAUUUUAUUCAUCAUCAAACGUCGAUUACAUUUUACAAGUUUCAGGAAAACUAUCUAAUCUGUAAAACUAAUAUCGUCCCUCAGCCCGAUGCGUCUCGCAUGCUGAAAAUGCUUAACCCUCGUCAGUCCCUUCGUAAGGGGAUCUGCAGGAUUCUCAUCUGACGAUAUCCUCCUUGUCACAAGGAGUCCUUCUUCAAUCUUGUGCCUUAUGAAGUGAUAUUUUCUGUCAAUGUGUCGGGAUCUGCCAUGAUCUCUUGGUUCCUUGGCUAAGAUAACCGCAGCAUUGUUGUCACAGAAAAUCUCUAUAGGUUCCUUAAUAGCUGGUACAACUCCAAGGUCUCCGAUGAAGUUCUUUAGCCAUAUCGCCUCCUUCGCUGCUUCACUCGCUGCUAUAUACUCUGAUUCACAAGUCGAAUCAGCCACCGUCUCCUGCUUGGAACUCUUCCAAGAAAUUGCCCCUCCAUUUAAGGUAAAGAUCCAGCCCGACUGAGAGCGGAAAUUAUCCCUAUCAGUCUGAAAACCAGCAUCACUAUACCCUAAUAUUCUCAAGUCAUCACUGCCACCAAGGGUAAGGACCCAAUCCUUAGUCCUCCGCAGGUACUUGAGAAUGUUCUUUACCGCGGUCCAAUGAGCCUUGCCAGGGUUCCCCUGAUACCUGCUGACCAUGCUCAAAGCAAAUGCCACAUCAGGACGGGUACAAGUCAUAGCAUACAUGAUCGAGCCAACUGCGGAAGCAUAUGGUAAUUGGCUCAUCUCAGCUAUCUCAGCCUCUGUACUCGGACUCUGAGUCUUACUCAGUUUGGUAUUGCUUUGGAUCGGUAAAUCUCCUUUCUUGGAAUUCUCCAUGUUGAACCUUUUCAACACCUUAUCCAAGUAGAUACUCUGACUAAGUCCAAUUAGUCUUCUACUCCUUUCUCUUAAUAUCCUUAUCCCUAGGAUAUAGGUAGCCUCCCCUAGGUCCUUCAUAGCAAAGCACUUCCCAAGCCAGGACUUAACCUCCUGCAAGGUUGGGAUGUCAUUUCCUAUGAGUAGUAUGUCAUCCACAUACAGUACCAAGAAGCUAACUAUACUCCCACUAGCUCUGACAUACACGCAAGACUCAUCUUCGCUUCUCAAGAAGCCAAACUCUUUUACCUUCUCAUCAAAACAAAGAUUCCAGCUACGAGAUGCUUGUUUUAAUCCAUAAAUGGAUUUCUUAAGCUUGCAUACUCUAUUAGGGUACUCUGCAUUGACAAAACCCUCUGGCUGAUUCAUGUACACAUCCUCAGCCAACUUUCCAUUAAGGAAAGCGGUUUUGACAUCCAUUUGCCAUAUUUCAUAAUCAUGAAAUGCUGCAAUGGCUAACAUAACCCUAAUAGACUUAAUCUUGGCCACCGGCGAGAAGGUUUCAUCAUAAUCAAUACCUUGAGUUUGAGUAAAACCCUUCGCAACCAGUCGAGCCUUAUAAGUAUGCACUUUUCCUUCCAUGUCGGUCUUCUUUUUGAAGAUCCAUUUGCACCCGACUGUUUUACGGCCUGGUACAUUGUCAACCAAGUUCCAAACUUGAUUGUCAUACAUGGACUGUAUCUCGCUGUCCAUAGCCUCCUUCCACUUAGCAGACUUCGGGUCUGCCAUUGCUUCCUUAACACUGCUAGGUUCAUCCAAAUUUACCAGUGUACUAUCGCUGAUAAACGUAUCACCUUCCGUAGUAAUAUGAAAGCCAUAAUAAAAUGAUGGUGUGUUCCUAACCCGUGUGGAACGUCUCGGAGGUACAGACUCGUCAGCUGGAUCAACAGGAGUUUCUACCUCAGGUUGAUUGCUAGUGUCUGAGGUUCCUUCACCAAUUGAUUCUUGAAUUUCUUCAAGAUCAAUCUGCCUCCCACUGUCUCCUUGGCUUAUAAAUUCUUUCUCGCGAAAGAUCCCUCUUCGUGCUACAAAGACCACAUUCUCACUGGGUCUGUAGAAAAGGUAACCGAAGGAUUUCUGUGGGUAGCCGAUGAAAAUACACCUUUCACUUCGGGGUUCAAGCUUAUCAUGAGUUUCACGCCUCACGAAGGCUUCGCAACCCCAAAUUUUGAUGUGGUCCAAAUUGGGAACCUUCCCAGUCCACAUCUCAUGAGGUGUUUUGGUAACCUUCUUUGUAGGGACUAGAUUAAGGAUAUGGGCGGCAGUCUCUAAGGCAUACCCCCAAAAAGAGAUUGGUAACGAAACUCGACUCAUCAUAGAGCGAACCAUGUCCAACAAGGUACGAUUACGCCUCUCAGCUACACCAUUCAGCUGUGGUGUCCUGGGAGGAGUCAAUUGUGAGACAAUCCCACACUCCUUAAGAUAGUCAAGGAACUCGGUACUAAGAUACUCACCACCUCGAUCGGAUCGAAGCAUCUUAAUGUUCCUGCCCAAUUGAUUUUCUACUUCCUGUUUGAAUUCCUUAAACCUUUCAAAGGUUUCUGACUUAUGUUUGAUUAAGUAGACAUACCCAUAUCUACUAAAAUCAUCAAUAAAAGUCACAUAAUACCGAUUAGCAUCCCUUGUGGCGGUUUUGAAUGGCCCACAUACAUCAGUAUGUAUUAGGUCCAACAAACCCUCACCCCUUUCACAAGUUCCAGUGAAGGGUGAUUUUGUCAUCUUUCCAAGUAGACAAGAUUCACAACUAUCAUCCGAUUUAAGGUCGAAUGACUCCAAGACUCCACUCUUUUGGAGUUGGCCUAUGCGUUUCUUGUUUACAUAUCCAAGACGACAAUGCCACAAUGAUGCUUUAUCUAGGCUAGUAGAAGAAUCAAUAUACAACACAUUAUUUCCUAAGUUGUCUACAAGCGACACAGUUUCAUACACACCAUCACAAG